AGGAUUGUAGUUCAAUUGGUCAAAGCACGGUCCUAUCAAGGUGGAAGCUGCAGGUUCGAGCCCCGUCAGUCCUG
rnacentral:tRNA from 1 species